rnacentral:rRNA from 1 species
GACGAACGCUGGCGGCGUGCUUAACACAUGCAAGUCGAGCGGUAAGGCCCUUUCGGGGUACACGAGCGGCGAACGGGUGAGUAACACGUGGGUGACCUGCCCUCAGCUCUGGGAUAAGCCCGGGCAACUGGGUCUAAUACCGGAUAUGCUUCAUGACGCAUGUUGUGGAGUGGAAAGCCUUGUGCGGCUGAGGAUGGGCCCGCGGCCUAUCAGCUUGUUGGUGGGGUGAUGGCCUACCAAGGCGACGACGGGUAGCCGGCCUGAGAGGGCGACCGGCCACACUGGGACUGAGAUACGGCCCAGACUCCUACGGGAGGCAGCAGUGGGGAAUCUUGCGCAAUGGGCGAAAGCCUGACGCAGCGACGCCGCGUGAGGGAUGACGGCCUGUGU